ACACCCCUGCUAUGUUUGUGAUUGCAUUAUGUCCUUUGCCUAACACUACAAAAAACAGGGUCUUCACUCUGAUGCUGGUGUGCAUAUUCCUUAGAACUUAAGGAGAAGCCUAAAAGUAUUAUCGGGGACCUAUAUUGAACCUUCGGUUCAAAGACAUCGGCAACACGGCACAAUGUGGGGGUUUU
rnacentral:other from 1 species